CCCCAGUGCAGCAGCAACAGCACAUGAUGGAGACGAUGAUGAGGAGGAGACCAUCUUUCUGGAUUCCAGAAGGCAUGAGGACCCAGAUGCUAUACAGUGGGAAAACCAGCCUGGCAACAUAGUGCGUAUUAAUAAAAGGACACCACAUCCUGCCAAAUUCCAGCUGCGCUAAUUGUAUUGUGUUCACAGAGCUCACAAGCUAUCAGAAAGUUGUAUGGCAACCACCUCCGGCGCCAAAUAGAACUGGCAGACAUAGACAUUCAGUACAAGAAGAAAAAGAUGGAAAAUCUUGCACUGGAGUCCGAAAUAAAAAAGAGGACAAUUAGGAAACUGGACCUUGAAAUAAAAAAACUUGAGAGGGAGCUCCAAGAAGAUGACACAGCUCAAAAUAAAAAUUAGGUAUAUUCUCGUAAAGUCAAGUGAGCCAUGACAUAUGAGCUCUUAUUGUGAGCACACAGGACGGUGGCAUCUUUCUAAGUUUUUUUUUAUUUUCCCAGCAAUCAGUACAACCAAGUCAUCGUUAUAAGGCAUCGCCCUCUUUUGCCCACCCCCCCAGCACCAGGUGUGGCCACUAGCCUAUAUGAAGGCCCAAAAUUGUGUGUUCCUUUCUGCUCUGACAAUGGCAUGCCCAUUCGUGCGAGAUGUGGUGGAUGAAGAAGCACUUGUGCUGAGGAGAGCCUUCAGGCGAGAAAGGGUCUUCAGGGACCGGUUGGACCCACUGGCCUUCCCUGAUGACCAUCUAUAUGAAAGAUACAGGUUUUCUGCAGAUGGCAUCAGGUAUCUAUGCAGACUACUGGGUCCCAGGAUUAAGCACCGCACUGCACGGAGCCAUGCACUGAGUGUGGAGCAAAUGGUUUGUGUGGCCUUGCGCUUUUUUGCUAGUGGAGCCUUCCUGUACUCAGUGGGGGAUGCUGAACAAGGCCACAAUUUGCCGCACAAUAAGGAGUGUGUGUCUGGCUAUCAAAGCAUUAGCAGAUGUCUUCAUCUCCUUCCCUGGCCACAGAAGACUCUGUGACAUCAAAGAGGAGUUCUAUAGGAUUGCAGAUGGUCUGCAAUGCUGACUGUGUGAUCAGCAAUGUUGUGGCAAAAUGGCCUGGCUCAGUCCAUGACUCCAGAAUCUUUCGGGCCUCUGAAAUCUAUCAGUGCCUAUCA